AAGUACUGGUGUAAGACAUUGUGUAGCCUAAAUAAUGAGGACCAGCAGUUCAAACUGUUAUCCUUUAUUUACUCCGACUCCUGUGAUGGUGAACAUGUACGCAAAAAACAAGGGAAACUACGAUUAGAUAGUAACUGAAUAUGUGAAUUUUAUGUGACACGAUGAGGGCGAGCGAGGAUAUAUAAGAGCGAGAGAUUGAAUUGGAAUAGGAAAGGCAACCCUGUAUGUGUUUCGACCUAACAGUCUUCUUCAGCAGGGAUUUUUUAAGGGGGGUGUAGAUAGAGUUUGCAGAGUGAAACUAGAAUGCAGGAGAGUUUAGGAGCACUGAACAUAUGUGAAACCAGAGAAAACAAAUUAUUACGAAGUUAUAAUGAAUUACACAAUACAAAAAUGAAGGUUAAAAGAAAUUGAAAAGGAUGAAAUUACUGAAUAUGUUAUUAGUAAAAUUAUCCUACCAAAGGUCUUGUUGUUGUGGGACAUUCCAACAUUACGUACUUUAUUGUUCAUCUUUUAACUAUAUUUUUGGAGCGAAGCAAUUUGCUAGUCCUUU
rnacentral:lncRNA from 1 species